ACGCUCGACACCUACGGGACGCAGCAGUGGGGAAUAUUGCACAAUGGGGGAAACCCUGAUGCAGCGACGCCGCGUGAGCGAAGAAGUAUUUCGGUAUGUAAAGCUCUAUACAGCAGGGAAGAAACUGACGGUACCUGACUAAGAAGCACCGGCUAAAUACGUGCCAGCAGCCGCGGUAAUCUGAGCGGGCUGGCAAGGC
rnacentral:rRNA from 1 species